UUCUACAGGGGACGACAUAAGAGAGGUGGUGCAGUCAAAGGAGAAAGAAGUUGUGCCGGAAAAGACAGAUGGAGAUCCUAAAGAAAAUGUGGAAGCCCUGAGGGCAGAAAUAAGCGGUAAAUAUACCAAAGAUUGUCAUUACUACUUUUUUGAAAACGACGACGUUUCGACCUUAGGCUAACAUCACUAUCCAGUCAAUACUAUAUUUUAUGAUAACUGCAGAAAUUCUCGCCCGCUCAUUGGCUAAUUUUCAUUGUCAAUAUGCGGACAGACACAUGAAUU